CUGGCGGCGUGCUUAACACAUGCAAGUCGAACGAGACGAUUGAAAGCUUGACUUUUGAAAGUCGAGUGGCAAACGGGUGAGUAACGCGUAGGCAACCUGCCUCUAGGAUGGGACAACAGUCCGAAAGGACUGCUAAUACCGAAUGAUGUAAGUGAUCCGCAUGGGUUACUUAUGAAAGAUGGCCUCUACUUGUAAGCUAUCACCUAGAGAUGGGCCUGCGUCUGAUUAGCUAGUUGGUGGGGCAACGGCCUACCAAGGCGACGAUCAGUAGCUGGUCUGAGAGGACGACCAGCCACAUUGGGACUGAGACACGGCCCAAACUCCUACGGGAGGCAGCAGUGGGGAAUUUUGGACAAUGGGGGCAACCCUGAUCCAGCCAUGCCGCGUGCGGGAAGAAGGCCUUCGGGUUGUAAACCGCUUUUGUUAGGAACGAAAAGGUAUCUGUGAACAACAGGUAUUGCUGACGGUACCUAAAGAAUAAGCACCGGCUAACUACGUG
rnacentral:rRNA from 1 species